UCUUCCCCUCAUGCAAAUCCCAUCUCUGCUUCCUGUCUCAUCUGCCGGGUAGAAAAGCUGAACUGACCGGCUGGGAUGUUCUACUGAGAUCUUGGUGUCCUCUCAGAACAUUCAGAACAUCUAAAGCCAAUAAGACAUCAUGUUUCUAUCCUGUUGUCUUUUGUGUCUGUCCUCAUUUCUUGGGGUCAUGUCACAAACACUUACUCAGUCCUCCUCAGGGAUAAAAAAGCCCGGAGAGAGUGUGAAGAUGUCCUGUACAGGAUCUGGAUAUACAUAUACCAGCUACUAUAUAAGCUGGGCUCAACAGGUUCCAGGGAAAGGACUGAUAUGGAUUGGGAGGAUUUAUGCUGGUAAUGGAGGUACAGAUUAUUCCUCUUCAUAUCAGGGAAGAGUCACAAUAACAUCUGAUGCGUCCAUAACCACAUCACAUCUACAAAUAGACAAUCUGAAAGUGGAAGACACGGCCACAUAUUACUGUGCUAGAGACACAGCGAUCCAAGGAUGACAUCUGUCAUACAAAAACAUCCAGAUGUAAUGCUUUCCUCUUACCAGCUGGCUGCAGAAUAUCCUCACUGAUAUUUCCCUAUAUCACAUUAAGGCACAACAUCCAUAAAUGCUUCCUCCAUUAAUUAUAUAAAGGUGUUUUCCUACACCAAUCUUAAACUGGUUAUACACUAGUAGAUUUUCAAAUGAA